rnacentral:lncRNA from 1 species
AAACCCAGCAGAGGAGCAGGCAGGGAAGGGAGGGUGGAAGGACAGAGGCUCCCCUUUCUUCUGGGCUUGGUUCCGGAGGAGGCCAAAAGAGAGUUUACCAGGGAAGCAAUUUGAAGGCAAAAGUCCACUCUAAAGUGAAGAUUCCUCCAGAAGCCGUCCACGGAGACCACGAUCAGGAAGCCUGGGCCGACUGCCUAUGAGAGGUGAACACAAGAGAUUCCCCUGAAGGUCACAGACCGGCUGGUUGGUGUAUGCAAAAGAGAAAGAGAGACCCUGUUUGAAAAAGGCUGAAGGUUUGCUGAGUUGAAUGCCAAAGAGUCUUCGAAGGACGAUUUCCAUUCAGGGAGAUCCGGUUACCCAGCUCCUAGAAAAGGAAGAAGACAUUCCUUAGGGCAGCAAUCCACACAUUGUUGGAACUAAAACAGUGGACACUGUGGAGACACAGGAUUUGUGAGUCUUUAGAUGGACUAACUUUACCCAUCCAUGCAGGAGCCAUGGAUAAUUUUAGACAGACAGGCAACUGAAGAAAGUCCCCCAAUGUCACUUACAGUGGGAUGAUGCUCCAGGUACAACAAAGAGCAAAAGACCAGCUAUGCAUAGAAAUCCUGGUGCAUAGCAUACUAAGGAGGAUUAUUUAAAAACGAACAAAGGUAUAUUUUUAAGUCAGUUCUGACUUCUAAGGUAGGAGUUCAAACUAAGCCAAAUUUCAUGAACAUAUCAUCAUUGAAACCAUGAUGGCUGAACUUCUUGUAAAAGGACCUCAUGCUUGGAGGACCUCUGUGUGCCUGUGAACUUAACCAACAUGUACGAGAUAAUGACCCCAGGACUGCUGUGUGCAGCUAAAGCAUCACGAUUAUUAUGUAAUGAUAUGGUGUUUGAGGUUUGGUGGAUGGUAAGAAUAAGGUAGAACCUGUAAAGACAGAAAUUCAAGAAUCCAGCAGCUCAAGAAGGAGGGAGAGAGAGGAGCAACCCCUGCAAUAAAUCUUGGCAUCUGAGGUUGUAAUCGAUGGAAUUCUUGCCCAGUCUAUCAUAAGGUUUCCAGAGGAGAGAACCAACCUGGAUACAAGAGGCAGAGCUCAAAGGACUUUCUCCCCUACUGUGAUGACGAUCCCAGUAUUUACUGCCACCAGUAUUGAUCAAAGGUACCAGAUCUCCUGUCAAGAGACAUUGUACUGAAUGGAAGAACUUCUUGAUAUUCUCCUAAUAAAGGAUACAAAGUCUUCCCGGAUAACCU